rnacentral:rRNA from 2 species
UUCGUGCCAGCCAAGCCGCGGUAAUACGUAGGUGGCAAGCGUUAUCCGGAUUUAUUGGGCGUAAAGAGAGUGCAGGCGGUUUUCUAAGUCUGAUGUGAAAGCCUUCGGCUUAACCGGAGAAGUGCAUCGGAAACUGGAUAACUUGAGUGCAGAAGAGGGUAGUGGAACUCCAUGUGUAGCGGUGGAAUGCGUAGAUAUAUGGAAGAACACCAGUGGCGAAGGCGGCUACCUGGUCUGCAACUGACGCUGAGACUCGAAAGCAUGGGUAGCGAACAGGAUUAGAUACCCUGGUAGUCCAUGCCGUAAACGAUGAGUGCUAGGUGUUGGAGGGUUUCCGCCCUUCAGUGCCGGAGCUAACGCAUUAAGCACUCCGCCUGGGGAGUACGACCGCAAGGUUGAAACUCAAAGGAAUUGACGGGGGCCCGCACAAGCGGUGGAGCAUGUGGUUUAAUUCGAAGCUACGCGAAGAACCUUACCAGGUCUUGACAUCUUGCGCCAACCCUAGAGAUAGGGCGUUUCCUUCGGGGAACGCAAUGACAGGUGGUGCAUGGUCGUCGUCAGCUCGUGUCGUGAGAUGUUGGGUUAAGUCCCGCAACGAGCGCAACCCUUGUUACUAGUUGCCAGCAUUAAGUUGGGCACUCUAGUGAGACUGCCGGUGACAAACCGGAGGAAGGUGGGGACGACGUCAGAUCAUCAUGCCCCUUAUGACCUGGGCUACACACGUGCUACAAUGGACGGUACAACGAGUCGCGAACUCGCGAGGGCAAGCAAAUCUCUUAAAACCGUUCUCAGUUCGGACUGCAGGCUGCAACUCGCCUGCACGAAGUCGGAAUCGCUAGUAAUCGCGGAUCAGCAUGCCGCGGUGAAUACGUUCCCGGGCCUUGUACACACCGCCCGUCACACCAUGAGAGUUUGUAACACCCAAAGUCGGUGGGGUAACCUUUUAGGAGCCAGCCGCCUAAGGUGGGACAGAUGAUUAGGGUGAAGUCGUAACAAGGUAGCCGUAGGAGAACCUGCGGCUGGAUCACCUCCUUAA